AAGAGUGUAGUUUAAUUGGCAAAAUAGGAAGCUUCAACCUCAAAUUCUUGGUUCAAGUCCAAGUACUCUUG
rnacentral:tRNA from 1 species